rnacentral:rRNA from 1 species
GUGAACGCUGGCGGUAGGCCUAACACCUGCCAGUCGCACGGCAGCACAGUAAGAGCUUGCUCUUACGGGUGGCGAGUGGCGGACGGGUGAGGAAUACAUCGGAAUCUACUUUUUCGUGGGGGAUAACGUAGGGAAACUUACGCUAAUACCGCAUACGACCUACGGGUGAAAGCAGGGGAUCUUCGGACCUUGCGCGAUUGAAUGAGCCGAUGUCGGAUUAGCUAGUUGGCGGGGUAAAGGCCCACCAAGGCGACGAUCCGUAGCUGGUCUGAGAGGAUGAUCAGCCACACUGGAACUGAGACACGGUCCAGACGCCUACGGGAGGCAGCAGUGGGGAAUAUUGGACAAUGGGCGCAAGCCUGAUCCAGCCAUACCGCGUGGGUGAAGAAGGCCUUCGGGUUGUAAAGCCCUUUUGUUGGGAAAGAAAAGCAGCAGGUUAAUACCCCGCUGUUCUGACGGUACCCAAAGAAUAAGCACCGGCUAACUUCGUG